rnacentral:rRNA from 1 species
AGCGCCCCGAGUGGGGGUCUCGCUUAUUGGGUCUAAAGCGUCCGUAGCUGGCUUGUUAAAUUUCUUGUGAAAUUGUCCGGCUCAACCGGGCAGCGUGCAGGGAAGACUGGCAAGCUUGGGACCGGGAAGGGUCAGAGGUAUGUCGGGGGGAGCGGUAAAAUGCUAUAAUCCCCGAUAGACCACCUGUGGCGAAGGCGUCUGACUAGAACGGGUCCGACAGUGAGGGACGAAAGCCAGGGGAGCAAACC